rnacentral:rRNA from 1 species
AACAAACGCUGGCGGCGUGCCUAAUACAUGCAAGUCGAACGGGGAAAGCUUUCGGGUGAGUACUAGUGGCGCACGGGUGAGGAACGCGUGGAUAAUCUGCCUUAGAGUGGGGGAUAACUAGUCGAAAGAUGAGCUAAUACCGCAUAAGACCACAAGAUCUGCGGAUCAAGGGGUCAAAGGUUUUUCGCUCUAAGAUGAGUCCGCGUAAGAUUAGCUAGUUGGUGAGGUAACGGCUCACCAAGGCGACGAUCUUUAACUGGUCUGAGAGGAUGAUCAGUCACACUGGAACUGAGACACGGUCCAGACUCCUACGGGAGGCAGCAGUAGGGAACAUUGCACAAUGGAGGAAACUCUGAUGCAGCGACGCCGCGUGAGUGAUGAAGGCCUUCGGGUCGUAAAGCUCUGUCGCAGGGGAAUAACACAAUGAAGGUACCCUGUAAGAAAGGAUCGGCUAACUUCGUGCCAGCAGCCGCAGUAAAAC